UUCUUAUCAAGAGAGGUGGAGGGAUAUGGCCCUUUGAAGCCUCGGCAACGGAUCUGACAGCAGAAACCGUGCCAAUUCCAGCAAACAGUUUGUUUGAGAGAUGAGAG
rnacentral:ncRNA from 2 species